ACAACAGGAGAUACACUUGCCAGUUUGUUGACAGGAAGAACAAUGUAAAGAUAGAGGCUGACUACACACCUGUCUUCAUAGGAGGGACAGGAGACGGUCAGCCAGAAAAACCUCAUUCAGAUUCUACAGAUUGGCCUCUGAGCCCUAUCAUGUUGGCUCUAAGAAUAACAGGACUGAUCCUAAUGAUUGUAAUCACUGUUCUUGUCAUCAGACACAGAGUGAACACAAAACCACUUGAUGACGACAAUGUGCAUCAGGAUGGCGACGAACUCAAUUAUGAAACUGUAGAAGCACGUCCUGCUACUACUAGACUGCACUGAUCAACAACUUCCACACCAACGUCAGCUCACCAGAAAGUCAAAUAUCAUCAUUUUCCCACAUGGACAACAAUACAGGCAAAAAGUUAUCCUCCCAACCAUCAAUGCUUUUUUAAUGUAAUCUGUAAUCUCACAAACUAAUGUUAGUUGAUGAUGUGCUCUUUGGCCUUUGAAUUUAACGCUUGAGUAAAUCAUACUUUUCCAACCCUGAGACAAGAGAACAUGAGUUUAUGCCAGAGAUUCAAACAAGUUCACGUCAGAGGGCCAAAUUAUUAUUCAGGUUAUUAUUAAGUCUUCCCUGAGAGUUAACCGCAAAAUAUGUUGCAGUGUGCUUAUUAUUUUGUCAUUUUAAGUGCUUUAAGUCACCAGAAUGCACAAAUCAAAGGCUCUGAAAGUCUGAAAGCGUUUUGAAAUCCUCCCUGUUUUUAAAAGUAUGCACCAGCCCUGUUUCCAGCAGUAGCAGGAAGCUCUACUGUAAACUACCUGCUCAGCACCAAACAACCAACAGACACAGUUAGGGACGAGCUGUUGAACAUAAAGGAACAUUUAGCAGCUAAAGAGCCAGAAAUGUUUUUAAGGAGUUGGUGGAGAUCAACACAGACCUAAAACAAGAGUGAAUGGUGGGCUUACAUUAAACAGGUGGAUAAGAACACAACUUGCUGCUGCUUUGCUGGAUGUUGUAAAUACAGCUGUUGUAUAACAUCUGUUGUAUACGUGAUAAUAUGUCAGAGUUCUUUUUUUCAGAUUUUCUUUUUCAAAGAAGCAAUAAAUUGGUAACUUGAGCUUUAAAUUAUUUUAAAUGAUUUUAUUUCUGUUUAAACAUUUUCUCAUAUAAAUGUGUUGACAGUCUGAUGUCAGCCUGACAGUAUUAACCAUCAUAUUCAACCUGAGUGUGUCUAACUAUGUUUUAUUUGACAGUAUUGAGUUUGUGUCCACAUUAAGUUAUGAAUACAUUAGCCAGCGCAUUAGCAAAGUAACUCACUGACAUUCCUUCUAUCCAGCAAAGACCUUAUGUUGUUAGUGGUGUUCUGAUAACCUGAGGUACAGCUUAUUAUAACUACAGUCUGCCACUGUCAGUGAGACAUGGAGGCAUUAAAGAACAGUAGCACCAUCUUGUGGGUUUUCUAGUGUAACAGGUCUCAGACAGAGUACCUGUAAACAGAUAAGGUUCCUGUAAAACAGGAGAAAGAAUGAGACAGGCGACCGUUGCCUCUAUUCCGUGUAGCUUCGCUCAGCAGAAUGAGAAAGUAAACAAGAGUCCGUGCGCAAGGUGAGUCCAAAAGGAGAAGCAAAGCGCCACACUGCCUCCUGCUGGUCACACUGAAUAGCUCUGAGUGUAUCACAUAAAAAAGGCUUUUGCUCUUACCAAGAGGCAAUAAUUGACCAUUUUGGCACAUAUUAACACAUUUCUUUCACAGAAAUAAUAUUUUCAACAUAAAGCAAACAAAAUUACACAAAACGUGACCUUACAUUUCGUAAGCGUCACACGAGCAACAAACUAUCAUCAGAGUAUCCAGAGGGCAUAUUUUAUCC